rnacentral:rRNA from 1 species
ACAGCAGCAGCCACGGGAAUACAGAGGGUGCAAGCGUUAAUCGGAAUUACUGGGCGUAAAGCGCGCGUAGGUGGUUUGUUAAGUUGGAUGUGAAAGCCCCGGGCUCAACCUGGGAACUGCAUCCAAAACUGGCAAGCUAGAGUACGGUAGAGGGUGGUGGAAUUUCCUGUGUAGCGGUGAAAUGCGUAGAUAUAGGAAGGAACACCAGUGGCGAAGGCGACCACCUGGACUGAUACUGACACUGAGGUGCGAAAGCGUGGGGAGCAAACAGGAUUAGAUACCCCAGUAGUCCCUGUCUCUUAUAC